UCUCUCAGACUGCCCGCCUUUCUUUCAUCCCACAGCAGCCGGAUGUGGAUCCCUGUGUUGGCGCGAGUGGCAGGAACCUCAAGUCUCUCCAAGUGCUCCGCCUGUCUUUGCUUUCCAACCCCACCGGUCCUCCAGAGCAUCACGUGAGUCAGCUGACAUGUAGGCAAGGAGCUGAGGCUUCCUACCAUUAGCCACUGAGGAAACAAGGGCAUCUGGCCAACAGCCAUGUGAAUGAGUCUUCUUGGAAGCAUAUCUUCCAGAUCUGUCAACAUUCAGAUGUCUGUAUCCUCAACCAAAAUUGUGACUGCAACUUCCUAAGGAAUGCAGAGCCAGAAAACCCAGGAUCCCAAGACUACCUGAUCUCGUGUAUUUUUUUCAACUGAGAGGUUUUCUUCUUCCAUGUGGUUAUAAUUUCUGUUCCAUCAUUUUUUCUUUCAUUGGAGCACUUGUAAUUCUUAGCUGCCUAUUUGUCCUCUACCCUCCACAUAUAUUAUCAUCUCUCCUUAUUUUCUACUUUAUGACUUUCUGCUGGGCUUCUCAUUUUUGUCUUCAAUACUGAUUCACUGGGGGUGGGUUGGCCCUUUCUUCUGUUUCAGAGUGUAGAGUAGGUGAAAUGUUCAGUAAUGUACUUCACAAUCCAUCCUGACUGAUGAUGAAUUUAGUGGGAGUUCCACCAGGGUUUUCCAAGAUCUUUUCUUAUCAUUUGGUCCCAAAGACAGCUUUCACAUUUUUGUGUGUCUCCAAGAAUAUUAAAUUAAGAAGCAGCUUAUCAGGCUUCUGUCACCAUGUGGAAACUCUCAUUAUGUUAACUUGGAAGUCUAGAUUCAGUAAUUUAAAAUGCUUGCAAACAUCAAAAUGAUAUAUAGGUUAUACUUUUUGGGGGUAUCUCCUUGGAUAUUUAUUUAGUAGAAUAAUUUAUUUCUCUUUCAUUAGUGGUUAGGGUAUAAGUAUCUCACCUAUCUUUUCCCCAUUGAUUUUGUUAGCAGUCUGUUUCUAUUAAUAUAAAGUUUUAAAUAUUUUUUGGUCUCUGCCCUAGGAAUCAGGAACACUCAUAAUUUGAUCUUUAUGGAACUUGCAUUUCCUAGGAUAAAAAUAUCAUGUUUUUAUAUAUUUCUUACUAAGGAACAAUGUUGAAAAUUUGCAAACAGUUGUAAAAACAAUACUUCAUCGAUCUUCCAAAAACCUUGCUUGUGGUUGGAAGAAAAAUAGAAUGUUCCUUGGUGUGAAUUUCAGGUUAAGAAAAAGAUUGAUUAUCUGAUAUAUCUAAAACCAUACUUUAUGCAGUGGAGGAUAAAAGAGGAAACAUAGACCCUGAGUUUAAAAGAGUUCAAAACCUUGGAAGGAAAAGAAACACGAAGCAGUACAACAGAGCAUAUAAUUAAUGAUGAUCAAAAAGAAAAUAGAAAUUGCCUACUGGGUGAGUGUCUGCUGGCAGUGUAUUUAUUUGUUUGCUUGUGUAUGUAUGUGUGUAUGUUAGAAGAUAGAACAAGGUAUUGAACUUCUUAACAUUUUAAAGUAAAGUCACAUUUUCUGCUUUCUUCUCUGUGGAGUUAAUUAUCUUAAACCUGUGUUUAAUUUGCAUAGGGACUAAUAUAUUUUACAAGGAGGACUGUUUAGAAAAUAGUUUGUGUCUCAAGGAUGUCUUUACUUUUAACAAAAUAUUUAAUCUCUUUCAUUCCUGGAAAUGAAAAGGUAAAAAGAAAGAUAUUUCUGAAGAUGUAUAUCUCUUUAUAGUUGAUUAUAUUUGCAAAUAAAAAAAGAAAUAUGUGGUUUUCUUAUUUUUCAA